GGGGAAAAUUAUUGCUAUUAGAUGAGCCUAUAUUAGAUUAGCUAGUUGGUGGAGUAAUAGCCUACCAAGGCAAUGAUCUAUAGCUGAUCUGAGAGGAUGAUCAGCCACACUGGAACUGAGAUACGGUCCAGACUCCUACGGGAGGCAGCAGUGGGGAAUAUUGGACAAUGGGCGAAAGCCUGAUCCAGCCAUGCCGCAUGAGUGAAGAAGGCCUUUGGGUUGUAAAGCUCUUUUAGUGAGGAAGAUAAUGACGGUACUCACAGAAGAAGUCCUGGCUAACUCCGUGCCAGCAGCCGCGGUAAUACGGAGAGGGCUAGCGUUAUUCGGAAUUAUUGGGCGUAAAGGGCGCGUAGGCUGAUUAAUAAGUUAAAAGUGAAAUCCCGAGGCUUAACCUUGGAAUUGCUUUUAAAACUAUUAAUCUAGAGAUUGAAAGAGGAUAGAGGAAUUCCUGAUGUAGAGGUAAAAUUCGUAAAUAUUAGGAGGAACACCAGUGGCGAAGGCGUCUAUCUGGUUCAAAUCUGACGCUGAAGCGCGAAGGCGUGGGGAGCAAACAGGAUUAGAUACCCUGGUAGUCCACGCUGUAAACGAUGAAUGUUAAAUAUGGGAAGUUUAC
rnacentral:rRNA from 1 species